UAUUAUUUGGCAAGGGACUGGUCAGUGAGUGAGUUUCAAUUAAGGUAAAAACCCAAGAAUUCAAGCGUGCAACAAUAAUGCUUAGUAUUUUUCCAAAUUUAAUUCCAGAAUCUUAAAAAUAAACUCUUUGACCCCGCUCUCUCUCUCCCCCUUCCUUUCUCUCAUCUAAAUGUCAUCAAAUUUAGGUCCAUUUCGCGAGAACGUUUGUCAAAUUUUGGACAAAUAUGGCCAACUCUUGAGUUACAGAAUUGGACACGGACCAGUUUGGCGUAUUACUUUAAGGAUUCAAAAUUCAAAGGUUCUUCCAUUCUACAUCAUUGAAGAAGAUGUCAAUGAUUUGUGUAAUUACUGUUCUGAUGAUCGUACAAUAACCUUUUUCAAAAUCUAAAACUUUUUGAAUUUUAUUGGCGUUUUAAUCUAUUGUAUUCUUACCAGUCUGGGAACAUUAUCUAACAUGCAAGAGAAAAUAUCACUUCUUAAUUCCACCGAUUGGUGAUUGUAGAAACUCAAUAAAUAAUGACGUUCUUGUUUUGGAAAACCAUCUCUUACGUGGACUAAUUCACUGAAAUGGCUUCUGCCAUUUGCUUUGUAUAAAUGGAAUUGACGAUGGUUCAACAACUAUGCCCAGGAGCCAAAAUAAGCUCAUCAAGCUUGAGAAAGCUGAGAAGCAC
rnacentral:lncRNA from 1 species